CACGCCUUGUCAUCUUUAUAUCUCCACCUGUGCACCUUUUGUAGACCUUCCAGGUCUAUGUUGCUUCAUUUACCCCAAUGUAUGUUAAUAGAAUGUUGUGCCUAUAAAAUAUAUACAACUUUCAGCAACGGAUCUCUUGGCUCUCGCAUCGAUGAAGAACGCAGCGAAAUGCGAUAAGUAAUGUGAAUUGCAGAAUUCAGUGAAUCAUCGAAUCUUUGAACGCACCUUGCGCUCCUUGGUAUUCCGAGGAGCAUGCCUGUUUGAGUGUCAUUAAUAUAUCAACCUUCUCUUGUUGAGUGGUUUGGAUGUGGGGGUUUGCUGGCCUUGUAAAGGGUUUCAGCUCCCCUGAAAUGCAUUAGCAGAACAACCUGUUCAUUGGUGUGAUAACUAUCUACGCUAUUGAAUGUGAAGGGCCGUUCAGCUUUCUAACAGUCC
rnacentral:rRNA from 1 species